UACGUAGGGUCCGAGCGUUGUCCGGAAUUACUGGGCGUAAAGCGUGCGCAGGCGGUUCGCUAAGACAGAUGUGAAAUCCCCGGGCUUAACCUGGGAACUGCAUUUGUGACUGGCGGGCUAGAGUAUGGCAGAGGGGGGUAGAAUUCCACGUGUAGCAGUGAAAUGCGUAGAGAUGUGGAGGAAUACCGAUGGCGAAGGCAGCCCCCUGGGCCAAUACUGACGCUCAUGCACGAAAGCGUGGGGAGCAAACAGG
rnacentral:rRNA from 1 species